rnacentral:lncRNA from 1 species
CCUGUUCCCUGGCAGUGCCCCCGUGUACCUGUACAGCAGCAGGGUGGCUGUGCCCUUGCAGUCCUCCAGUGUGCCCGUCCGUUUGUGAAGUGCCUGUUCCCUGGCCCAGUGCCCGCAGGCGCCUCCGACUGGUCUUGUCCCUGACCCCGAGACGAAGGAAACGGCUCUGGCUGCCAGCAGCCGGAGCUUCAGCCGUGACACGCUGUGACACGGGGAAGUGAUGCCGGUGCAGACAGCCCAGAGAACAAGCCCUCAGCCUGGAGCACGCCCUUCCUGAGUCUUGCCUGUUCUCUUGGCCAGUUCCUCGCGCUCACAGCGAGCUGUUGGCUCCUGAGGGUGUUGGUGCUGGGAGCACCGUCCAUCACCCCUGUGGCAGGGGACAGUCCCAGGCAGCCUGGCUGCUUCCCUGGGCUUUUUGCCGUUGAGGCUGUCCCUCCAGCAGGCAGAGGACGGCACAGUCCCUGGCUGCAGGGACCUGAUCUGCUGCAGCGGUGGCCCUGCUGGCCUGCCCUGCCCGCUGCUUGGGUCCAGCCGUACAGCUGAUGUCUGCUCAGCAUUGCGCUUGUCCCUGGGAGUGUCUGUGUCGGGUGGAAAUCCCCCCUUCACUGCCAACACCUGGGGAGUAAAAGGACCCACCUGGAUGCUCCUGCUCUGCCGGGUAAAGGAGACACAGCAACCCCUGUGCUGGGAGCGCUCGGAGCGGUGCCUGCAGGGGGGGGGGAAUUGGCUCCUGCCUGCCUGGACAUGGCUGGGCAGAGAGGGGGGCUGCCCCUCACCCUGCUGCUGAGCCUCACCAGCCUGGCCGUGCCUCACCUCGCACCGGGGACCACCGCCUUGGAUGUGACAGAGACCGUGUCCCUGGCUUUUCCUACCUCUCUGACAUCUAUGGAGACCUCAUCAGUGGUGUCCACCACUGACUCCAGCACCACAGGCACCAUCCCUCCCUCCAGCCCUGAAACAGGAGCCUCCACGCUGGAGACAUCCCUGGGGACUGACAGAUCUUCACCUCCCAUCGCAUCUUCCCCGACUGCACCAGCAUCGCCAGACACUUCGGCAGAGUCCUCGAUGACCACAGGGGACACCACAGGCACCUCUGAUACCAGCACAGGGUACAGCACUCCCAGCCAGCCUGUCGAGACCACGUUUGGGAUCACCUCUGGUACCUCCACUGUGACUAUGGAGACAACCCCAGGCACCUCGACAGUACCUGAGACCUCCAGUGCAGCCACGGGCACGGAGCCCUCUUCCCCCACCACCAACUCAACCCAGACUACAGACGAUACCCUCAGCACCCCCACAGACCUGACAACGACAGCGUUCUGCCCCACCACUGCAUCCAGCACCGGUCCGUCUUACCUCUUUCUGUCGCUGCAGCUAACCGUGCCCAAGGACCUGGGGAACACCACAAUGCAGGAGCUGCUGUUGUCCAAGCUCCGUGAGGAACUGCAGACGACGUUCCCAUGUGCUGGCCUGGGGGUGGAGUGGCGAGGGGAGAGGAGGACCUGACCACUGCUCCUUGCCCGGCCAGGACCUUCAGGGCUGGCACCCCUGUCAACUGGCAAGCCUUCUGCUCCCAGCUCCUUACUUCAUGGUAGUGCAGCCUUUUGGGGUGACCUGUACAGCUCCUCCUAAGCCUGGGACCCCCUGUCCUUCACUGCACACCCCCAGAGGACCCCCAGUGGGCUGGAGUGCCCCUUUCCCUUCCUGUAGCCUGUCUGUAGAGCCCGAGACCUCCCACCGCCCUGCACCAGACCUGCCUCCCACGGUGGGACCCCCCCAGAGCUGCUGGGAGGAGGGGACCCGGCAGGGCUAGGCCUCAGCCAUGAAAACCACCCUGGGGACCGACGGAUGAGAGAAAGGAGACCUGGAGCCACUGGUACUGCUGUGCUCUGUGAUGAUGACCUCAGAAGAUCUGCAAUCUGGGGAGGCUGCGGUGCCCAAGAUCUCUCAGAGAUGGUCCAGGGCUGUUUCACAGCCAGAGUGGGCCAGGAUGGAGCCCGGGGAUGCCUCUGGGAAGGAGGCAGGAGAGAAAAACCCCUCUCUACCCCUGGAGUCUCAUCCUGGGACCGGCCACGCUCCUGAGCCCUGUGGCGCAGAGGGCGAGUGAAGCCAGAGCCCGGCAAACCAGCUCUCCCCUCCUUCCUGGGGAGUCAUUGACAGAGAAGCACAACCAUGCCAACACGGAUGGGGAACAGAGGGAAAUUCCACCUUUUUCGUGCCAAAGAUGAUGACUGAUUUUUUUUUUUACAAGUUGACUUCCCUGAUUUUCAGCGUCGCCAUCUAGCAGAGGGACUGGCAAGGAAAAUUGGCUGAGUCCCCAAAAGCUUCGCAGCAGAGAGACGGUCUCAGGGCUGUCCCCUCCUGGCAGCGGCCACCACAGACAUUCCUGAGGACGGUUCAGCACCCCGACAGGCUGGGGGUCCCUGCUUUGGUGCUCUCCACCCCAUGGCGCCUCACAGCUGCCCAGGCAGCUGAGCUCACCAUGGGGCCGUGGAAAUCCCGUGGG